UUGACUAAAAUAUUCAUUAAUUCUCUUUCUCUCUCUCUCUCUUUCUUCCUUCUUCACUAAUUAAACAAUAUUAUUAUUAUUAUUAUUUAAUAAAUCAACAAAUGGCAUCAUCAUGGACGGCGAGGCAGAACAAAUUGUUUGAACAAGCACUGGCUUUAUAUGAUAGGGAAACACCUGACAGGUGGCACAAUGUUGCUAAAGCAGUUGGAAGAUCAGUAGAAGAUGUUAAAAGACACUAUGAAAUCCUCAAACAAGAUGUUCAACGUAUUGAGCAUGGCCAUAUCCCUUUUCCUCCUUACAAAACUAAUUAACACCAAAGGACUUUGAAGAUCCAGAAUCCAAUAAGCGUGAAUAACCAAUAUUUGGUAUCUUUGAUAAAAAUUUGCAUAUGUUGUAUCUUAAGCAUGCAGCAAGCUACCAUGUCAAUGUGGAAAGCUUCUAUCCCAUUAUCUUUCUUUCUAUACUUUUUUUUUUGCUGAAUAUCUUUCUUUCUAUAUUAGUCAAAUUAACCUGUAUUCCUUGCAUUUAAUUUCCUUAAAUUUGUACCAAAAAGAAAGUAUUGUAUUAACAGCAGUUUAAUUAUUAUUAUAUCAACAAUAGUUUACAGUA